AGUGAACGCUGGCGGUAGGCCUAACACAUGCAAGUCGAACGGCAGCACAGUAAGAGCUUGCUCUUACGGGUGGCGAGUGGCGGACGGGUGAGGAAUACAUCGGAAUCUACUUUUUCGUGGGGGAUAACGUAGGGAAACUUACGCUAAUACCGCAUACGACCUACGGGUGAAAGCAGGGGGUCUUCGGACCUCGCGCGAUUGAAUGAGCCGAUGUCGGAUUAGCUAGUUGGCGGGGUAAAGGCCCACCAAGGCGACGAUCCGUAGCUGGUCUGAGAGGAUGAUCAGCCACACUGGAACUGAGACACGGUCCAGACUCCUACGGGAGGCAGCAGUGGGGAAUAUUGGACAAUGGGCGCAAGCCUGAUCCAGCCAUACCGCGUGGGUGAAGAAGGCCUUCGGGUUGUAAAGCCCUUUUGUUGGGAAAGAAAAGCAGCAGGUUAAUACCCCGCUGUUCUGACGGUACCCAAAGAAUAAGCACCGGCUAACUUCGUG
rnacentral:rRNA from 1 species